rnacentral:SRP_RNA from 1 species
GCCGGGCGCAGUGGCGCACGCCUGUAGUUCCAGCUACUCGGGAGGCUGAGACGGGAGGAUCGCUUGAGUCCAGGAGUUCUGGGCUGUAGUGCGCUAUGCCGAUCGGGUGUCCGCACUAAGUUCGGCAUCAAUAUGGUGACCUCUCGGGAGCAGGGGACCACCAGGUUGCCUAAGGGGGGGUGAACCGGCCCAGGUCGGAAACGGAGCAGGUCAAAACUCCCGUGCUGAUCAGUAGUGGGAUCGUGCCUGUGAAUAGCCACUGCACUCCAGCCUGGGCAACAUAGCGAGACCCCCUCUCU